rnacentral:rRNA from 1 species
CCCUUAGAUGUUCUGGGCCUCACGCGUGCUACACUGAGUAAUUCAAUGGGUAAGGGAACGCUAGAGCAUUACCUAAUCUUGAAAUUUGCUCGUGAUGGGGAUCGACGGUUGCAAUUUUCCGUCGUGAACGAGGAAUACCUUGUAGGCGCAUGUCAUCAUCAUGCGCCGAAUACGUCCCUGCCCUUUGUACACACCGCCCGUCGCUCCUACCGAUUGAGUGAUCCGGUGAGGCUCUGGGACCUGGACGGAAAGAGCGUUUCGCUUGUUCUGUUUGGGAAACUUGGUCGAACCUUAUCAUUUAGAGGAAGGAGAAGUCGUAACA